AACAUCACAAAACAGUCUUUAUAAUGAGAUGACUCAGGAACACAAAAAAGAAAAAAAAAAGAUUAUUUCAAGAAUGCUCAGUGUGUGGUAGUUAAUGCUCCUCAAAGGUGAUGUGGUUUUUUUUGCUGCCAUAAUCUUGAAUGGUUACUCAUGACUUCUUUUUGUCCAAAGCACAAGGUGGCAGGCAAAUGAGAGGAGAAAAACAAAAGGAAAUCCUUUAACUCAGUGACAUAUAGAGGAACUCCAAAAUUACUUCAUUGUUCAGGGAAAAAGGACAAAGUGGUUGAUAGAAAUAACAGUAGAAGAGUAGAAUAUGUUGAUCACACUCAGGGUGGUGGUCUCCAGCUUCCACUUGAACUUUGA
rnacentral:lncRNA from 1 species